rnacentral:rRNA from 1 species
GACGAACGCUGGCGGCGUGCUUAACACAUGCAAGUCGAACGGAAAGGCCCAGCUUGCUGGGUACUCGAGUGGCGAACGGGUGAGUAACACGUGGGUGAUCUGCCCUGCACUCUGGGAUAAGCCUGGGAAACUGGGUCUAAUACCGGAUAUGACCAACUGUCGCAUGGUGGUUGGUGGAAAGCUUUUGCGGUGUGGGAUGGGCCCGCGGCCUAUCAGCUUGUUGGUGGGGUAAUGGCCUACCAAGGCGACGACGGGUAGCCGACCUGAGAGGGUGAUCGGCCACACUGACUGAGACACGGCCCAGACUCCUACGGGAGGCAGCAGUGGGGAAUAUUGCACAAUGGGCGCAAGCCUGAUGCAGCGACGCCGCGUGAGGGAUGACGGCCUUCGGGUUGUAAACCUCUUUCACCAGGGACGAAGCGUGAGUGACGGUACCUGGAGAAGAAGCACCGGCCAACUACGUG